AAACCCCCCUUAAACCCUCUCUCUCUUAUGUGUCUCUCAAAAAAAAACCCCAAACCCCAACUGACGAAAACCCAAAAAACCCCAGACCCCGUGAAACUCUCUCGCUCACCUUCGCCUGCGCUUCUUCCAGGCUCGCCAGAGUUUUCCCCUUGUUGGCGUCGUCUCGCUACUCUCUUCCUCUCAUAUGUGCUCCUCGAGUCUCUCUCCUCCUCGUACCUUCAUCUUGAUUUGUGCUGGAGUUUCUUCUUGCCGAAUUUUCUCCCCGGUGCGUCGUUGUUAGGCCGUUUUCAACUUGUUGCAGCUUGGUGUGGUGCUCGUGUUCUUCCUCUCUUCCCUAUGUUUGUCGUCGCUGUUGAUAUUGUUGUUUUAGCGAUGCUGUCGCGGCUGUUGUUAUUAGCUACCGGUGACGUUGUUGUUGUCCUGUUUUUCUCUUUCCCCUGAUUCAUUCGCGAAUGUGCUUCGCUGUGACACACCUUCGCCUGACUUGCGGCGCCUCGCCGCGGAGCACCGAAGCUUCGAAAACCCCUUCAUCCCUCUGUUCUUCGCUGCUCCUAGUAGACCAAAGGCUUAGUUUAUGAACAAAAAUAGGAAGUGGGCAAGGUAUGGGUGGAGGACGGUUACUUCUUCUGACCUGAUACGGUCGGCUAUGCUCCAUUACGAACCUUGGGGGUAGUAUUGCUGGGCUCCAUAACGAACUUUGGAGGCAGUGUUUGUCCUUUGUCCAAAGUCUGUACUUGCCACAGAUUUGUUUAAGAGAGUGAGCUAUGCCAGCGUUGUAACGAGAUGAAAAUGAUUUGAGAAAUAAAAUGUUUAUAACGGACUGAAGUAAAGGUUACGUGUUUUCCACUUAUUUUUGGAAUUUUAUUUUUUUGUAUUUUCUCCCUGAAUUUGCAGGUUUGGUGUUGUGAGCUCGAAAUUGGAAGUGGAGCAAGAUUAUGAUGUUGUCCUAGAUUAAGGAUUAAGUUGUAUUUGUGGAUAAGGAUUGACUUUGUAUUUUAGAUAAUUGGUUUGAGAAUAGUUAUUUACAUUUCGUUGUAUAUAAUAUUUUGGGAAUUUUAGUGGAGUUAUUGGUGUAAUUAAGGAUA